UACGAAGGGGGCUAGCGUUGUUCGGAAUUACUGGGCGUAAAGCGCGCGUAGGCGGAUCUGCAGGUCGGGGGUGAAAUCCCGAGGCUCAACCUCGGAACUGCCUUCGAUACUGCGGGUCUCGAGUCCGGGAGAGGUGAGUGGAAUUCCUAGUGUAGAGGUGAAAUUCGUAGAUAUUAGGAAGAACACCAGUGGCGAAGGCGGCUCACUGGCCCGGUACUGACGCUGAGGCGCGAAAGCGUGGGGAGCAAACAGG
rnacentral:rRNA from 1 species